rnacentral:lncRNA from 1 species
CAAAAAGUACAUUUGUAUGUUCUUAACUUUUAACUUAAAUAAAUGUAUUAGGAAAAGUAUUUUUGAAAUUAAAGCAUUUUGCUUAACUUGAUUAUGUAUUUUACCUGUUGUACAUAGGAUUACACAUGAAAUUUUGAAAAUAAGAAUAUAAAUUCAGAAAAUUAAGUGUUACACACAUGUAAGAUAAUAGUAAGUGAUUUGUUGUAGAUGUUUUGUUAUAAGAGUGCUUGUUAAUAUAUAAAUAUAUUUGUGUCCUAUCACAUUUUUUUGUAGAGUAUUUGUAUACUUUUAUUAAAUGUUAUGAGGUUUGUGCAAGGAAUAGGAAACAUAAGUUUGUAUUUUGUGAUGAAGUGAUUUUCUUCAUAUACCAAUGAUUUUCUAUAGCUCAGAUCAAGUCUGGGGAUAGAGGUUAUUUAUUUGAUUUUUGUCAAAAAACCGAGACAUAGCGAUCCUACAUUCGGUCAGCAUUGCCUGCGGCAGCGGCGUCCACAAAUAUUCACUCUUUGGUUAAAGUUUUUGAAAUUUUAAUAACUUUCUUAAACUAUGCUUGAUUUCUACUAAACUUGGCCAGAUGCUUGUUUAUGGUCAAAAGAUAGUAUCCAGAAGUAAAUUUUGUAAAUUUUGUAAAAAUAAAAUUCCAUUUUUAUCUGUAUUUUACUUAUAAAUGGACUUUUUCUUCACUCUGUGGUUAAAGUUUUUAAAACUUUAAUAACUUUCUUAAAGUAUCUUGGGUUUGUACCAAACUUGGACAGAAGCUUGUUUAUGAUUAUUAGAUAAUAUCCAGAAGUAAAUUUUGCAAAAAUAAAAUUCCCAUUUUUUCCAUAUUUUACUUAUAAAUGGACUGAGUUUUUCUGCCAGGAAACAUAACAUUCACUCUGUGGUUAAAGUUUUUGAAAUUUUAAUAACUUUCUUAAACUUUACUAGAUGUCUAGCAAACUUGGACAGAAGUCUGAUUAUGAUCAUAAAAUAGUAUCCAGAAGUAAAUUUUGUAAAAAUUAAAUUUCAUUUUUUCCAUUUUUUACUUUUAAAUGGACUUCGAUUUUCUGCCAGGAAACAUCACAUUCACUCUGUGGUUAAAGUUUUUAAAAUUUUAAUAACUUUCUUAUUCUAUUUUGGACAUACCAAACUUGGACAUAUGCUUGUAUAUGAUCAAAAGCUAGUAUCUAGAAAGAAAUUUUGUUAAAAUUUUGUACUUGUGUAUCUGUAUUUUACUGGUAAAUGGACUGAGUUUUUCUUCCAGUUAACAUUACAUACAGUCUGCAGUUAAAGUUUUUAAAACAUUUAUUAGAUUCAUAAACUAUCCUGGAUUUUUACCAAAAGUAAACAGAAGCUUCUUAAAAUCAAGAUAGUAUCAAGAGGAAUAAUUUUUUUCCUCAUUUUUGUUGAGCCUGCGAACAGCAAAAGUAGGCGAGACACUGGGUUCCGCAGAACCCUUAUAAAUUUUCAUUUUAUCAAAGGAAUGAAUUCAAACAAGGAUUCUUUUUGAAAUGUGCAUUUAAAGGUUUAUUGUAAUAAUGAAAGGAAAAAUUGAAACAAAUACCUUUUAAUGGCUUGAACCAUGUUAUGGUAGGCUUGUUAUUGUGUAUUCAUUAUUGUGAGAUACCAAAUUUUCAGUAAUUUUGUGGCCAUAGAUGAACUGCAAAUUCAAAUGUUCAAACAAAUACAAAUUAACUUUAGGCUUGUAUGCUGAUUUUUUUAAAACCACAAAAGAACUAAAUUAUAUUUUUCUUCAAUCCAUUAAAUUUGGAAUCAAGGAAAAUGAAUGAAUCCAUAGUAUUUGUAGAGUUUUUGUCAAGUUAUAUGUACAAUUUUGUAUUGAUUAUAACAGUACACUUCAUGUCAUUGAAUUAUAAAUCACUCUUUGUUGUGUAUUAUAACACAUGUACAUCUAAUAUAACACAUGUACAUCUAAUAUAACACAUGUACAUCUAAUGCAGCUGAUUUUUAAUGAGUCAUGCUGACAGUCUCUGCUUUUUUCAACAAAUAACAUAUGUAAAACAGGGUCAUAAACUAUAGUGUUUUUUCUUAAUUGCCAUAACCAGUAGUCACUGUUUCACAAUGAUUCCUUAAACUCAAAAACGAGCAAGAGUGAUUUUAAAUUCAAUCUUAUGUGUAUUUGUAUGAAAUUGAGUGUUUUUUAUGAGGUGUAUGUAUUAUUUUAUAAGUUAAUUGAUCAUUUAUAUCAUUUAAUGAAAUACAUACAUGACAUUACUUGAUCAUGUAUAAUCUCAUACUUCAUAUUUUUAUAUCAGACCUAAAACACAGCAAUUAUAUAUUUCAACUUUUUAGAAUUAACAGCUAAUUUAAAAAUGUUCUUGAACAUCAAAUUUUCAAUAAUUUACACAUUUGAGUAGUUAAUGAAUUACUUUUUCCAUAGAAUUUGUGGUAAAUUUAUAAAAUGAAGAUGAAAUUCUGAACUAUGCUGUAAAGUGUUUUAACAAGUCAAUGUAAAUUUUCAUGUGGCCAAACACAAUUUGUAUGUGAAUAUUGAAAAAUAUUCUUUCAACUUUUGAAGAAACUAAAAUAACAAUUGAAAUUUUAUUUUUUAUCAGGCGCGGAUCCAGGGGGGGGGGGGGGUUCAUUUUUUUUGCGAAAUGCAUUUCCCCCCCCCCCCUUUGUCCUGGGUUAGGACCCCCCCUUUUUAAAAUGACUGGAUCUGCCCCUGUUCAUGCAAAUUGCAUUUUCAUGCAGGUUUUACAGGAACUAUAUACUUUCAUAGUACAUGCACAUUGUAUUAUGCUUUUAUAUCUAAUAUAUAAUCUCAUUCAUGGUUCCAAUUUGCCUUAACUGUUGAAAAAAUCAUUAGUUUUUGGACUUUAUAUAAUUGCUAAUUACUAUAUCCACUUGCUUUUACUAUCUCAAGCAUAAUGAUGUAUCAACUUUUGAUUUAUACUUUUUCAGUUCAACAUUUUAGUAUUUUAAAAUUUGGGCAAAUAUAAAUCCUUGUAAAAUUAAUGGUGUCAGAAAUUUCAAGAACAAGAUCACUUGUGUAUAAAAAAAAAUUGAUAACAACAAAUUUAAAAGAUGUGAAACCGUGAAAUUUGAGAGAAAAUUUUUUUGACAAUAAAUACAAUUUACUAGAAAUAAGGUUCAGGUCCAUUUUAUAUGAUGUCAGUAUCUGUAAUAUGCAAAGAACAGUGAAACCAUGAGUAAACUGGACAACUGCCUAAACUGAAAUCGACUUUAGAUAGGGUUUACUGUUUGUGGUAAAAAACCAUACAUUGUUUUUAUGUUGUACAAAAUAUAUCAUGCAUUUACCAGAAUAAAUUGUUGUAUAAUUUCUUGCAUAAUAACACCACAGAUAAAUUUUGUAGAACUGUGGAGGUUGCAUGUUUGUGUGAAUUAUCAGUGUCAAGCACUUUGUGAUUAUUAUAAUUAGGUCACCAUUUUCUGUAUGACAUCUCGUCUUUAUACUGAUAUUUGUUUUAUGUGGUAGUAUUGUUUCUUGACAUUCCUGUAGACUUCCAACAAACAGAACACAAAUGAUCUGUAGUUUUUAUACGACCGCAAAAUUUGAAAAAUUUUUCGUCGUAUAUUGCUAUCACGUUGGCGUCGUCGUCGUCGUCGUCGUCGUCCGAAUACUUUUAGUUUUCGCACUCUAACUUUAGUAAAAGUGAAUGGAAAUCUAUGAAGGUUAUGAACAAAAGGAAGGUUGGUAUUGAUUUUGGAGUUUUGGUCCCAACAUUUUAGGAAUUAGGGGCCAAAAAGGGCCCAAAUAAGCUUUUCUUGGUUUUCGCACUAUAACUUUAGUUUAAAUUAAUAAUCUAUGAAAUUUUGACACAAGGUUUAUGACCAC